UUACGGUCAAAUCACGCUGAAACACUAGUUCUCAUUUGAUCAUUGUAGUUAAGCAUUGUUGAACCCGAUCAGUACUGAGGUGAGGGACAGCUUGGGAACACCUGGUAU